CAUAUGGAAAUAUAGUGUCACUAAUAUAUUCUCCUAUUAUUUAUUUCUAAUUUAUGGUGUGCCAAAAGUCCCUUUGGUCACUUAAAAUGUUAAUUUAUGAUGUGUCAAAGUCAUGUGUUCACUACCGGGUUAAACUAAUGAUACAUGCACACAGCACGUUAUUCACAUGUUGGCCAGUAGAGAGCGCAUGCGCCUUUGUUAUUCCAGUCACUUCUUCACUGAACGUCACCCAGUGAAGACACGAGUCAUCAUUGUAUUACAAAGACAAAGUUUAAAAGUUAAAAAUACUUGUUACUUCUGUGACCGAGUGUUGGAAAAGCAGCAUAAGCGAGCCGGGUUCCAGUGGGCGUUGGAUUGCUGUGCUUUGUGCUGCUGAGAACUCCAAUUGUUUUUUUGUGUGAUCCUGAAGUCUGGUUCCAAGCUGGACUUGAGUUUGAUGGCGAGCCAGUCCCAGUGAGUGAGAGUCUGCGGAGAGGGAGCGUUUGGAUGUGGUGUGGCCAGCUACAUCGGUCUCCACCCUCUGCAGUGACAUAUUACUGAACUGAUCUACCAUCAGAGUCGCAAGUAUCGAACCGAAUCAAUAUGGAAUAACGGAUUACAAAAGAAUUAAGGAUUCCCAACAAAGGAAUAUAGACAGUGUUCAACUCAGUACUACCCGGGUAGAAUUCAAAUUUAAAAGGGACAUUUCUUCUAUUUUUUCUAUUUUGAUUUUUGUAACAGAGCUCUAUUUUAUUUUAUUUUUGGGAUAUUUUCAAUUCAAAAAGCACACUGUUCAUGUGUUGUUGUUUAUUAUUGUGCAAUAAAUUUGCCAGCAGCCGUUCUGUGGUCCACUACGUACAAAA